UCCUCGUUAGUAUAGUGGUAAGUAUCCCCCCGCCUGUCACGCGGGAGACUGUGGUUCGAUUCCCCGAUGGGGAG
rfam:Ciona savignyi cont_13215, whole genome shotgun sequence.